AUUUAAAUAGUUUAAAAUAAAACAUUGAUUUGUGGAAUCAAAAAUAUAUUUAUUAUAUUUUAAAUA
rnacentral:tRNA from 1 species